UCCGGUUUGUCACCGGCAGUCUCGCAUGAGUCCCCAACUAAAUGCUGGCAACAUGCGACGGGGGUUGCGCUCGUUGCGGGACUUAACCCAACAUCUCACGACACGAGCUGACGACAGCCAUGCACCACCUGUGACCGCCCCCGAAGGACCCCGUGUCUCCACGAGUUUUGCGGCCAUGUCAAACCCAGGUAAGGUUCUUCGCGUUGCAUCGAAUUAAUCCGCAUGCUCCGCUGCUUGUGCGGGCCCCCGUCAAUCCCUUUGAGUUUUAGCCUUGCGGCCGUACUCCCCAGGCGGGGCACUUAAUGCGUUAGCGCCGGCACCCAGGGGGUCGCUCCCCCAGGCACCUAGUGCCCAUCGUUUACGGCGUGGACUAC
rnacentral:misc_RNA from 1 species